AUACGGAGGGGACUAGCGUUGUUCGGAAUUACUGGGCGUAAAGAGUACGUAGGCGGUCUAUCAAGUUGGGUGUGAAAGCCCGGGGCUCAACCCCGGAACUGCACUCAAAACUGAUAAACUAGAGAUCGAAAGAGGUAAGUGGAAUUCCCAGUGUAGAGGUGAAAUUCGUAGAUAUUGGGAAGAACACCAGUGGCGAAGGCGGCUUACUGGUCCGAGACUGACGCUGAGGUACGAAAGCGUGGGGAGCAAACAGGAUUAGAUACCCGAGUAGUCC
rnacentral:rRNA from 1 species